CAAUUUCCAGUGCGGUGCAUUCUUCAUAAAUUAAAGUUAAAACUAGCAAGCACGAAUCAGAAAUUGCUAGUCUCAACCAAUAGAAUUCUCUUCGUUUCACAUUUUCUCACCUAUAUUACACACUAAAUUAUCAACCAAUUCAGGAAAAAAAUCACGAACACAAACUACAAAAUAGAUAAAUAAAUGAAGGGAUAAAUAACAAAAAUCAGUUACCUUCUCUUUUCUUCUUCGUCUUUUUUGAGCUUCUGAUGGUUCGCAACAACACUGGGACUGCGCGAUUUAGGAGGAGGAGGAGAGGAACAAUGAAGGAGGAGGAGUUAGGGCAGUGAGUGUCUCGUCGCGUUGGGGCUUUUGAUGGAGGAUUUAGGGCAGAGCACGAACAAGA
rnacentral:lncRNA from 1 species